AGUGGCCUACGGGACGCAGCAGUGAGGAAUAUUGGUCAAUGGGCGCGAGCCUGAACCAGCCAAGUCGCGUGAGGGAGGACGGCCCUACGGGUUGUAAACCUCUUUUGCCGGGGAGCAACGGGCGUCACGUGUGGCGCCACUGAGAGUACCCGCAGAAUAAGCAUCGGCUAACUCCGUGCCAGCAGCCGCGGUAAUACGGAGGAUGCGAGCGUUAUCCGGAUUUAUUGGGUUUAAAGGGUGCGUAGGCGGAUUUUUAAGUCAGCGGUAAAAUGUCCGGGCUCAACCCGGGCCGGCCGUUGAAACUG
rnacentral:rRNA from 1 species